AAGUCCCAAGCAGAACAGGGGCAUCCGGUAGACCGGGGCAAGUUGGUUGACUGGUUAAGAUAGCUCGCACUGUUGAGCCCGAAUCAGUGCACUUGUGGAGUGCUGCCCGUCAAGCUACCGAGGCUUGUUGUGAAUAAAUCAGAGGAAUCAAAGUUGAUCCUGCAAACAAAAAAAAAGAAAAGAGAAAAAAGAAAAGAAAAAAAAAAGAAAAAAAGAAAUGCCUGAGCCGAAAAAAAG
rnacentral:lncRNA from 1 species